rnacentral:rRNA from 1 species
UAAUACGUAGGGUGCGAGCGUUAAUCGGAAUUACUGGGCGUAAAGCGUGCGCAGGCGGCGUCGCAAGUCAGGCGUGAAAUCCCCGGGCUUAACCUGGGAAUGGCGCUUGAAACUACGAUGCUGGAGUAUGGCAGAGGGAGGUGGAAUUCCACGUGUAGCGGUGAAAUGCGUAGAUAUGUGGAGGAACACCGAUGGCGAAGGCAGCCUCCUGGGCCAAUACUGACGCUCAUGCACGAAAGCGUGGGGAGCAAACAGGAUUAGAUACCCUGGUAGUCCACGCCCUAAACGAUGUCGACUAGUUGUUGGGGGAGUUAAAUCCCUUAGUAACGCAGCUAACGCGUGAAGUCGACCGCCUGGGGAGUACGGUCGCAAGAUUAAAACUCAAAGGAAUUGACGG